AAAUAAGAAGUAAAAAUUACAUUUAGUUUCGACCUAAAAUUUGGUGACAAUCGCCCUUAUUUA
rnacentral:tRNA from 1 species